CCUACGGGGGGCAGCAGUGGGGAAUAUUGGACAAUGGGGGCAACCCUGAUCCAGCCAUGUCGCGUGUGUGAAGAAGGCCCUCGGGUUGUAAAGCACUUUCAGUGAGGAAGAACGCCUGGUGGUUAAUACCCAUCAGGAAAGACAUCACUCACAGAAGAAGCACCGGCUAACUCCGUGCCAGCAGCCGCGGUAAUACGGAGGGUGCGAGCGUUAAUCGGAAUUACUGGGCGUAAAGCGCGCGUAGGUGGCUUGAUAAGCCGGUUGUGAAAGCCCCGGGCUCAACCUGGGAACGGCAUCCGGAACUGUCAAGCUAGAGUGCAGGAGAGGAAGGUAGAAUUCCCGGUGUAGCGGUGAAAUGCGUAGAGAUCGGGAGGAAUACCAGUGGCGAAGGCGGCCUUCUGGACUGACACUGACACUGAGGUGCGAAAGCGUGGGUAGCAAACAGGAUUAGAUACCCCGGUAGUC
rnacentral:rRNA from 1 species